UGUGUGUGUGUGUGUGUGUGUGUGUGUGUGUGUAACCCCUGGGUGACUCACAUAUACAAGGAGGUGACAGGAAAGACCAAGGUCAACCAUGGUCUGGGACCUCUGAGUCGGCCAUUUUGCUUUUGGAAGACAUAAAUCAGAUGAAACGGACAGUUCCUCUCCUCUUCAAAGGCUUUUGUUUUACAGAGGUUAUCAGGAGGGCUGAAGCAAUUGCCUGUAUAAUGGACCCCCUUAGCCAGUCUGAUAAGUAUAACAGUAAGGAACACACAGUCCUGCGACAGUCUGGUAGUCAGCUAGAAGACAAGGAAUAAACUGAUGUUUUCUCAGGUGCUGAGUUGUAUCACCUCAAUGUGACAGCGACAGCCAUUUUGACGCGGUGUUGUCUGCCAACGUCAACCAUUUAGCCAUUGUUUGUGUUCCUGUCUGAAGAGGUUUAUACUAGUGACCACUUCUGGGUGAGUUACUGUAGGCCAAUUCCACGGAAACAGAAUUGCACUGAUUUUGCACUUCAAAGUGUAUGCCAUACAAAAACUCUAUGCACAAUGACUACUUUUACACUGAAGAUUUUACUAAAACACAUUUACCGGAAGAACUGGGCAGAUGCUAAGUUUGGUAACAGAAUCUCAGUUUUUUAUGUGACCACGUUUUCAAAAAAAUCUACACUUAAAUAUCUGCUCCGAAUUAAGAUUGAAAGAUGUCUGCAGAAAGAAUGGGAUGUCAGCUACGACCUACUUUCAAGCGUUGGUCGCUGCUCAGUGGGUAAAGAUGCUGAUUACAGUAAAUGGAAAGAGAGGGGGCUCAUUGGUAGGUUUCAGUGAGAGCCGGAAGAGGUGACAUUAACUAGAGAGAGAGAGAAGAGAGAGAGAGCGGCAGAGAGAGGGAGAGUGAAAGGGAGGGGUUGUCCAGGCUGUUUUCACAGUCUUUCUUUGACACCAGACGACAGAAAGAGAAAGAAAAGUUAUGAGCUGAACAUAACAGUAUACCAGUGGAAGGGAGGACAGUAGCAGGUAACCCUAUGAGCUGAACAUAACAGUAUGCCAGUGGAAGGGAGGACAGUAGCAGGUAACCCUAUGAGCUGAACAUAACAGUAUGCCAGUGGAAGGGAGGACAGUAGCAGGUAACCCUAUGAACAUGACAGUAUGCCAGUGGAAGGGAGGACAGUAGCAGGUAACCCUAUGAGCUGAACAUAACAGUAUACCAGUGGAAGGGAGGACAGUAGCAGGUAACCCUAUGAGCUGAACAUAACAGUAUGCCAGUGGAAGGGAGGACAGUAGCGGGUAACCCUAUGAGCUGAACAUAACAGUAUGCCAGUGGAAGGGAGGACAGUAGCAGGUAACCCUAUGAGCUGAACAUAACAGUAUGCCAGUGGAAGGGAGGACAGUAGCAGGUAACCCAACAGUGGUUUGUGACUAUUAUGAUUUCCCACUGUAGCAAAUUGAAUUGCAGUAAUUCCGUUACUGAUUUUAAACAAAUUCUGUUACCAAUUUGGUAACAGAAUUUAGAGUUUUAAACACUUAAUAAUUCAUAAACCAAAUAGAUAUCAGUAAAAACACUAUGACUUAUUGGUAGGUCUAUCUUAUUAGACACUAUGACUUAUUGGUAGGUCUACCUUAUUAGACACUAUGACUUAUUGGUAGGUCUACCUUAUUUAACACUAUGACUUAUUGGUAGGUCUACCUUAUUAGACACUAUGACUUAUUGGUAGGUCUACCUUAUUUAACACUAUGACUUAUUGGUAGGUCUACCUUAUUUAACACUAUGACUUAUUGGUAGGUCUACCUUAUUAGACACUAUGACUUAUUGGUAGGUCUACCUUAUUAGACACUAUGACUUAUUGGUAGGCCUACCUUAUUUAACACUAUGACUUAUUGGUAGGUCUACCUUAUUAGACACUAUGACUUAUUGGUAGGUCUACCUUAUUAGACACUAUGACUUAUUGGUAGGUCUACCUUAUUAGACACUAUGACUUAUUGGUAGGUCUACCUUAUUUAACAC
rnacentral:lncRNA from 1 species